rnacentral:rRNA from 1 species
CGAACGGGUGAGUAACGCGUGAGGAACCUGCCUCAAAGAGGGGGACAACAGUUGGAAACGACUGCUAAUACCGCAUAAGCGCACAGCACCGCAUGGUACAGUGUGAAAAACUCCGGUGGUGUGAGAUGGAUCCGCGUCUGAUUAGCCAGUUGGCGGGGUAACGGCCCACCAAAGCGACGAUGGAUAGGGGUUCUGAGAGGAAGGUCCCCCACAUUGGAACUGAGACACGGUCCAA